rnacentral:lncRNA from 1 species
UUAAUCGCUACUGUUGAAUGCUUACAAUACCGAAGAACACUUAACUUUUCCACUUACUAUCCACUCUUUCAUAUCAAUACGAUAACAACCACGACAUCAAUUUCAAUACCUUGUGUAAUUCACGAACACACAAGCAUAAUCUAAACCCUAAAAUGAACAACUUCCAAUCCAUAGAAUGUGAUUGAGCUAAUUCUUUCAAUUACAAUUCUCUCCACUGAACUCACAACCUUCAGAUAAAUAGUGAUUAGAAACUUCCAUACAUCAUCAAUCUUUUACAAUAAUAGAUAAACAGUGAUCUAUAAAAAACUUUGUAAAUCAAACAUUGAUUCAUUAAAUCGAUUCUCUUCACUAGA